rnacentral:rRNA from 1 species
GCAUAUCAAUAAGCGGAGGAAAAGAAACCAACAGGGAUUGCCCCAGUAACGGCGAGUGAAGCGGCAACAGCUCAAAUUUGAAAUCUGGCCCCCAGGGCCCGAGUUGUAAUUUGUAGAGGAUGCUUUUGGCGCGGUGCCUUCCGAGUUCCCUGGAACGGGACGCCAUAGAGGGUGAGAGCCCCGUCUGGUUGGACACCUAGCCUCUGUAAAGCUCCUUCGACGAGUCGAGUAGUUUGGGAAUGCUGCUCUAAAUGGGAGGUAUAUGUCUUCUAAAGCUAAAUACCGGCCAGAGACCGAUAGCGCACAAGUAGAGUGAUCGAAAGAUGAAAAGCACUUUGAAAAGAGGGUUAAAUAGUACGUGAAAUUGUUGAAAGGGAAGCGUUUGUGACCAGACUUGGGCCCGGUUGAUCAUCCACCGUUCUCGGUGGUGCACUCUGCCGGCCCAGGCCAGCAUCAGUUCGCGCCGGGGGAUAAAGGCUUCGGGAAUGUGGCUCCUCCGGGAGUGUUAUAGCCCGUUGUGUAAUACCCUGGUGCGGACUGAGGUUCGCGCUCCGCAAGGAUGCUGGCGUAAUGGUCAUCAGCGACCCGUCUUGAAACACGGACCAAGGAGUCGUCUUCGUAUGCGAGUGUUCGGGUGUCAAACCCCUACGCGUAAUGAAAGUGAACGCAGGUGAGAGCUUCGGCGCAUCAUCGACCGAUCCUGAUGUUCUCGGAUGGAUUUGAGUAAGAGCAUACGGGGCCGGACCCGAAAGAAGGUGAACUAUGCCUGUAUAGGGUGAAGCCAGAGGAAACUCUGGUGGAGGCUCGCAGCGGUUCUGACGUGCAAAUCGAUCGUCAAAUAUGGGCAUGGGGGCGAAAGACUAAUCGAACCUUCUAGUAGCUGGUUUCCGCGA